UACAGGCUAAAUCAAAGGAAGAAUGGAAGUCAGCAGAGUCCAUUUAUGAUUUUUCUGUGAAAGACAUUGACGGAAAUGAAGUGUCCCUAGAAAAGUACAGUGUUUUUUUGUUUACAGGAAUCAAGUAGUUCUCAUUGUCAAUGUGGCCUCUAAAUGAGGCUUCACCGACAAGAACUACACUCAGCUACAGAAACUGCACGAAAAGUAUGCUGAGGAGAAGGGGCUCAGGAUCCUUGGAUUUCCCUGUAAUCAGUUUGGAAGUCAGGAGCCUGGGUCAGAAGAGGAAAUAAAGAAAUUUGUUACUGAAAGAUAUGGUGUUAAAUUUGAUAUGUUUAGCAAAAUUGAUGUCAAUGGGAACAACGCCCACCCACUGUACAAGUAUCUGAAGGCCAAGCAAGGCGGCACACUAGGGGACUUCAUCAAAUGGAAUUUUACAAAGUUUCUUGUAAACAAAGAAGGGAAGCCAGUGAAAAGAUAUGCACCCAAUACUGAACCCUUUAGCAUUGAGAAAGACUUCUCACAGUAUUGGUGACGGUGCAACAAAGUUCCAUCCUCUGAGAAAGUGAGCUCAAAAUUCUAGAGACCUUGUGUAGCAGUCUGUAGGAGAACUUGUCCGAGGGCCAAUCAAUCCGUGAUUCGAAGACUGUAUGAAGGCAAUCUCUUAAACCAUUUGAUUGGUGGAGGCAGCCUGAUGCUUAUUUCGUGCAGUUUCUUUGUCUUGUGUGUCAUGGAAAGUUUUGACCUGAUGUGGAGAAAUUCUUCUACACAUUGCACUACAGUUUUGACCUCCUUUCUGGUUAUUGUAUAGCAGAGUGAAAAUGACAUGUACAUGUAAUUACUUUUUUAAUGUUAUAGAUGAGUGUAAUCUGGAUAUUUUUAAGUUACAUGCAUAUUGUAUGAUCUGUAUCUUCUUUUUAAGUUUUGCUUCAAAAUUGAUUUGUUUUGUUUUGCUGAUUUUGGUGCUUCAAGUAUUUAGGUGCAUCACUAUGCAUAUAAAACAUUUUCCAUUUUAGCCCGGUUGUGCAAAUUCUAAAACCUAAGAUAACUUUUUUGUGUGGUUACCGAUUACUCCUCCAAUUAUUUAUUCAGACUACUAUCAAGAUUUAUUACUACGUUUGUAAUUACAUUAAAGAUGUAUGUAAUUAUGAUGGUUUAAAAUAAUUCCUUUUUUCUUGGAUAGAAGUUAUGUUGAGAACUUUUAUGUUUAAAGAGUAUCUUUAUUGUGAUCCAAGUUUCUGGUCUUCCUACGGCAUUCAUAAAAUUCAGAAUAUCUUGCAGCAAACAUGAUGUACGUGUUGAAUUGCAACUUGGCCACAUGUGUCUAUCUCACUCAACAAUUGUCCAAUGGUCUUUGCCUUCCAUUUAUGGUUUACUUAUUAAGCUCUAUGUUAAUACACAUUUUGCAAAGUGGCUUGCUGUCAAAUGAGUUACAACAUGUAUUGAUUUUUUUUCUUCACCAUAAAAAUCCUGAAUGUUUCCAACUGAUAGGAGCAUAAUUUUAGUAGCAUUAAACCUUGGUUCAGCAUUGGCAUCUGUAGCCUAAGUAUCAGUAUUGAAUUAAACACAAGAAUCUGUAGUACCCUUUUUAAUGCUAUCAUUGUAUAUUUUUUAUGUGUUGUAGACAGAACAUAUCAAUAAAAUUCAGAAAUUUG
rnacentral:misc_RNA from 1 species